ACAAUGAUUUCCCUAGUAACGGCGAGUGAAGAGGAAAGAGCUCAAAGUUGGAACCUGUUUGGCUUAGCUAAACCGGAUUGUAAACUGUAGAAGUGUUUUCCAGACACGCCUGGUAAAAAAGUCCUUUGGAACAGGGCAUCAUAGAGGGUGAGAAUCCCGUCUUUGGCCAGAGCUGUUGUCUUUUGUGAUACAUUUUCAAAGAGUCAGGUUGUUUGGGAAUGCAGCCUAAAUUGGGUGGUAAAUCUCACCUAAAGCUAAAUAUUUGCGAGAGACCGAUAGCGAACAAGUACCGUGAGGGAAAGAUGAAAAGAACUUUGAAAAGAGAGUUAAACAGUAUGUGAAAUUGUUAAAAGGGAACCGUUUGGAGCCAGACUGGCUUGACUGUAAUCAAUCUAGGCUUCGGCCUGGAUGCACUUGCGGUUUAUGCCUGCCAACGACAAUUUUUUUUGAGGGAAAAAACUAUUAGGAAUGUGGCCCCCCUCGGGGGGUGUUAUAGCCUUUUAGAAAAUACCUUGAAUUGGAUUGAGGAACGCAGUGAAUGCCUUUAGGCAAGAUUGCUGGGCGCUUUCGCUAAUAAAUGCUAGAAUUUCUGCUUCGGGUGGUGCUAGUGUUUAAAGGAGAAACUCGUCUGGUAUAUUUUUUUAUUCGCUUAGGUUGUUGGCUUAAUGACUCUAAAUGAC
rnacentral:rRNA from 1 species